GUGAGGAAUAUUGGUCAAUGGGCGAGAGCCUGAACCAGCCAAGUCGCGUGAAGGAAGACGGCCCUACGGGUUGUAAACUUCUUUUGCAAUGGAAUAAAAAGAGUUACGUGUAAUUCAUUGUAUGUACAUUGCGAAUAAGGAUCGGCUAACUCCGUGCCAGCAGCCGCGGUAAUACGGAGGAUCCGAGCGUUAUCCGGAUUUAUUGGGUUUAAAGGGUGCGUAGGCGGAUUGGUAAGUCAGCGGUGAAAGUUUGCAGCUUAACUGUAAAAUUGCCAUUGAAACUGUCAGUCUUGAGUGCAAAUGAGGUAGGCGGAAUGUGUUGUGUAGCGGUGAAAUGCAUAGAUAUAACACAGAACACCAAUUGCGAAGGCAGCAUACUGGGAUGCAACUGACGCUGAGGCACGAAAGCGUGGGGAUCAAACAGGAUUAGAUACCCUAGUAGUCC
rnacentral:rRNA from 1 species